GACGAACGCUGGCGGCGUGCUUAACACAUGCAAGUCGAACGGGAAGGCCCUGCUUUUGUGGGGUGCUCGAGUGGCGAACGGGUGAGUAACACGUGAGUAACCUGCCCUUGACUUUGGGAUAACUUCAGGAAACUGGGGCUAAUACCGGAUAGGAGCUCCUGCUGCAUGGUGGGGGUUGGAAAGUUUCGGCGGUUGGGGAUGGACUCGCGGCUUAUCAGCUUGUUGGUGGGGUAGUGGCUUACCAAGGCUUUGACGGGUAGCCGGCCUGAGAGGGUGACCGGCCACAUUGGGACUGAGAUACGGCCCAGACUCCUACGGGAGGCAGCAGUGGGGAAUAUUGCACAAUGGGCGGAAGCCUGAUGCAGCAACGCCGCGUGCGGGAUGACGGCCUUCGGGUUGUAAACCGCUUUCGCCUGUGACGAAGCGUGAGUGACGGUAAUGGGUGAAGAAGCACCGGCUAACUACGUG
rnacentral:rRNA from 1 species